rnacentral:tRNA from 1 species
GCUAUAGCUCAGCAGGUUAGAGCGCUGGAUUGUGGUUCCAGAGGUCGCCGGUUCAAAUCCGGUUAG